rnacentral:lncRNA from 1 species
GGCAACCGUCGAGCCAUGCGACGUUAAACGAAGCGCUUUGUGGGAGGCAACCCACGUGUUCGAUUGCUAACUUAUUUUGCUUUUUCUUUUUUGUAUGGGUGUGAAAUGUUGUUGCAGAUAAGGAGAAAGGAUGCCAUAAUCAUAAUCACGUCGCAGCGACAGGAUGCCAGACCAAAGAAGCAUUUCCGAAUUCAGAAAAUGAGAAAAACAUGGGCAUCCACACGGCCACCC